UGGGGAAUUUUGGACAAUGGGCGAAAGCCUGAUCCAGCAAUGCCGCGUGUGUGAAGAAGGCCUUCGGGUUGUAAAGCACUUUUGUCCGGAAAGAAAUCCUUGGCUCUAAUACAGUCGGGGGAUGACGGUACCGGAAGAAUAGGCACCGGCUAACUACGUGCCAGCAGCCGCGGUAAUACGUAGGGUGCAAGCGUUAAUCGGAAUUACUGGGCGUAAAGCGUGCGCAGGCGGUUUGCUAAGACCGAUGUGAAAUCCCCGGGCUCAACCUGGGAACUGCAUUGGUGACUGGCAGGCUAGAGUAUGGCAGAGGGGGGUAGAAUUCCACGUGUAGCAGUGAAAUGCGUAGAGAUGUGGAGGAAUACCGAUGGCGAAGGCAGCCCCCUGGGCCAAUACUGACGCUCAUGCACGAAAGCGUGGGGAGCAAACAGGAUUAGAUACCCUGGUAGUCCACGCCCUAAACGAUGUCAACUAGUUGUUGGGGAUUCAUUUCCUUAGUAACGUAGCUAACGCGUGAAGUUGACCGCCUGGGGAGUACGGUCGCAAGAUUAAAACUCAAAGGAAUUGACGGGGU
rnacentral:rRNA from 1 species